rnacentral:rRNA from 1 species
UACGAAGGGGGCUAGCGUUGCUCGGAAUGACUGGGCGUAAAGCGCGCGUAGGCGGCUUUGUAAGUUAGAGGUGAAAGCCCGGAGCUCAACUCCGGAAUUGCCUUUAAGACUGCAUCGCUUGAAUCAUGGAGAGGUGAGUGGAAUUCCGAGUGUAGAGGUGAAAUUCGUAGAUAUUCGGAAGAACACCAGUGGCGAAGGCGACUCACUGGACAUGUAUUGACGCUGAGGUGCGAAAGCGUGGGGAGCAAACAGG